UACGUAGGGUCCGAGCGUUGUCCGGAAUUAUUGGGCGUAAAGGGCUCGUAGGCGGUUUGUCACGUCGGGCGUGAAAACUCAGGGCUCAACCCUGAGCGUGCGUUCGAUACGGGCAGACUAGAGGUAUGCAGGGGAGAACGGAAUUCCUGGUGUAGCGGUGGAAUGCGCAGAUAUCAGGAGGAACACCGGUGGCGAAGGCGGGUCUCUGGGCCGAUACUGACGCUGAGAAGCGAAAGCAUGGGGAGCGAACAGG
rnacentral:rRNA from 1 species